rnacentral:rRNA from 1 species
UACGUAGGGGGCAAGCGUUGUCCGGAUUUACUGGGCGUAAAGAGCGCGUAGGCGGAAGCUUAAGUGUGGUUUGAAAGCCCCCGGCUCAACCGGGGAAUGUGAUUGCAAACUGGGCUUCUUGAGGGGGAUAGAGGAGAGUGGAAUUCCUGGUGUAGCGGUGAAAUGCGCAGAUAUCAGGAGGAACACCGAUGGCGAAGGCAGGUCUCUGGGCAUUAACUGACGCUGAGGAGCGAAAGCAUGGGGAGCGAACAGG